rnacentral:lncRNA from 1 species
GAUGGUAGAUGUUUAAGUCUUAUCUUGCUCUCAACAUACACUUUGCAUUAAAAAAAUAUAAAAACAAUAGGUUGCUUGCUUAUUAUUUAAACUAGAUCAGCCAUUCAUAUAAAAAAAAUGAACUGAUUGAAAGCAUAAUCUGAACCUAAACCUGUAGAAACAAGUCUACCGUUUGAGGAGUCUUAUAUCAAUCGUUCUCCAACAUUCGUUUCGAUGCACAAUUAUGCAAAAUAAGAAAGUAAUCACAAAACCAACUGGACAGACAACAUCAAUAUAGCCUUUUGAUUCCUGAUUUUAAUUUAAUUUACUCGCUGCCGCCCCCCUGUUAAUGAGUCAACAUCCAUGGCUUGUCAAACAAAACCUAAUCCCACCC